rnacentral:rRNA from 1 species
CCCUUAGAUGUCCUGGGCCGCACGCGCGUUACACUGAUGCAUUCAACGAGCUUAUAACCUUGGCCGAGAGGCCUGGGCAAUCUUGUUAACGUGCAUCGUGAUAGGGAUAGAUUAUUGAAAUUAUUAAUCUUGAACGAGGAAUUCCUAGUAAACGCAGAUCAUCAAUCUGCAUUGAUUACGUCCCUGCCCUUUGUACACACCGCCCGUCGCACCUACCGAUUGGAUGGUCCGGUGAAGCCUCGGGAUUGUGGUUCGUGCCGCUUUAUUGUGGCGUGACCGCGAGAACUUGUCUAAACCUUAUCAUCUAGAGGAAGGUGAAGUCGUAACA